GAAAACUUGCAAACUACCGUUAGAUCGAGAAAUGGACGUCAGAGAUUCGUCCACGUCACCAUGAGUUAAAAUGGGAGUUAAAUUUUAACUCAUGGUGACGUGGACGAAUCUCGGACGUCCAUUUCUAUUUUAACUCAUGGUGACGUGGACGAAUCUCUGACGUCCAUUUCUCGAUCCAACGGUAGUUUCCAAGUUUCC
rnacentral:pre_miRNA from 1 species